AUUGAACGCUGGCGGCAUGCCUUACACAUGCAAGUCGAACGGCAGCACGGGAGCAAUCCUGGUGGCGAGUGGCGAACGGGUGAGUAAUACAUCGGAACGUGCCCAGUUGUGGGGGAUAGCCCGGCGAAAGCCGGAUUAAUACCGCAUACGACCUGAGGGUGAAAGCGGGGGACCGCAAGGCCUCGCGCAAUUGGAGCGGCCGAUGUCAGAGUAGCUAGUUGGUGGGGUAAAGGCCCACCAAGGCGACGAUCUGUAGCUGGUCUGAGAGGACGACCAGCCACACUGGGACUGAGACACGGCCCAGACUCCUACGGGAGGCAGCAGUGGGGAAUUUUGGACAAUGGGCGCAAGCCUGAUCCAGCCAUGCCGCGUGCGGGAAGAAGGCCUUCGGGUUGUAAAUCGCUUUUGUCAGGGAAGAAACGCUUCGAGCUAAUACCUUGGAGUAAUGACGGUACCUGAAGAAUAAGCACCGGCUAACUACGUGCCAGCAGCCGCAGUAA
rnacentral:rRNA from 1 species